rnacentral:lncRNA from 10 species
CUGGAAACAAUAACAGAACAAAUUAUUACCUUACUAGUAGACAUAUGUGCAAAAGCCUUUGAAAGACCAGAAGAAAGCCAACUGCCUGGCAAUGUCGGAAAGUUUCAUGGGGGAGCUGGCAUUCUUAUUGGCCUAUUCAGUGGUGGAUGGAUGGAAACAGUUGCUGGCUGGAAGAAGUAUGAGUAUAAAUGAUCAACAAUUUGAAGAAGAAUCUCCUGUGCGAACCUCUUCUGUGCAGACACCUUCCCACCCAACCUCAACAGAGCCCUGUGGGCCUCCCACGCUGUGUAAGUGCGCGGACUCAUCUGAGUGCCACUAGGGGACACAGCCCAGAUUCAAGCUGGGAUCCCCAUAAUAUGUGCACCUGCAGCCAGGUGUGCCUAUAGAACCACAAAUGCGACAGGCUGUAAAUGAAAAUACAGCAGAAUCAGAUCUGUCCAAUAAAUCCUGAUUGAAGGCCAGAACUGAAAGUAUUUCUUCUGAGGCUGAGAAAAAUUCCAUCUCAAACAUUGAAAGGGUAGAAAUAGGCAGUGAAGUCCUAGUGCCUGCUCUGUUUGGCCUUUCUGGGUUAAAAACAUACUUAAAAUUGAGUGACUCUGUUGUGGAAUAAAAUCCAAACAAUCUGGGUUGAAAAAGACUGCUUAGGGGUGUGUGGGUCACAGUGAUGCUAAGGGUAUUCUUUUUUUUUUUUUUUUUUUUUUUUGAGACGGAGUCUUGCUGUUUCGCCCAGGCCAGAGUGCAGUGGCGCUGUCUUGGCUCACUGCAAGCUCUGCCUCCCAGGUUCAUGCCAUUCUCCCGCCUCAGCCUCCCGAGUAGCUGGGACUACAGGCGCUUGCCACCGCGUCCGGCUAAUUUUUUGUAUUUUUAGUAGAGACGGGGUUUCACCAUGUUCGCCAGGAUGGUCUCGAUCUCCUGACCUCGUGAUCUGCCCGCCUCGGCCUCCCAAAGUGCUGGGAUUACAGGCAUGAGCCACUGCGCCCGGCCCGCUAAGGGUAUUCUUGAUAUCCGCUGGGAUAAUGUGACCACAGGACACCUUGCUUGCUUUCUCCAAGAAUCUCAAGAAGACUACAAACCCCAAGAAGGGAGGCAUCUUGUUCAAGAUCAUGUUGGGGAUAGAAGACAGAGUGAGAAUGAGAAAGCAGAGAUGUUCAUUUGUUUUAUGAACAUUUACUUAUCUGCCAAGGUCUGUAGCCCUGGCCUUCCCUGUGAAGAGCAGCAGCCUGAACCAACGUUCAGUGGCCGGGGCUGCCGAGCCAGGACCUUACGGGGCUGCAGCCUGUGCUGACCCAGGGCCUCCACAGUGCUUUGCUUGCAGAUCCCCC